GACGAACGCUGGCGGCGUGCUUAACACAUGCAAGUCGAACGGUAAGGCCCUUCGGGGUACACGAGUGGCGAACGGGUGAGCAACACGUGGGUGAUCUGCCCUGCACUUCGGGAUAAGCCUGGGAAACUGGGUCUAAUACCGGAUAGGACUCCGGACUGCAUGGUCUGGGGUGGAAAGCUUUUGCGGUGUGGGAUGGGCCCGCGGCCUAUCAGCUUGUUGGUGGGGUGAUGGCCUACCAAGGCGACGACGGGUAGCCGGCCUGAGAGGGUGACCGGCCACACUGGGACUGAGAUACGGCCCAGACUCCUACGGGAGGCAGCAGUGGGGAAUAUUGCACAAUGGGCGCAAGACUGAUGCAGCGACGCCGCGUGAGGGAUGACGGCCUUCGGGUUGUAAACCUCUUUCAGCAUCGACGAAGCGAAAGUGACGGUAGGUGCAGAAGAAGGACCGGCCAACUACGUGCCAACCGCCGCAGUAA
rnacentral:rRNA from 1 species